rnacentral:misc_RNA from 1 species
GUUCACAAGCGUAAAACAAUUGCAGAACAAGCUAAAAUCUGCAGCAGGACGUAUUGAAACACAUCUAAUAGAAGGUGUGAGUCACUUUGAAAUGGAAGGCCCUGCAUAUGAUGCUCAAAUGGUGAAUCUUAUCCUUCAUUUUAUUUCUUCUUUGUAGGAUAUUAACUUUGCUCAGAAUAUUUGUGUGGAAAUAACCCUUGUUACCCAUUGUGCAUUUGGGUUUGUAAUAUUAACUUCUUG